rnacentral:rRNA from 1 species
UACGUAGGGUGCAAGCGUUAAUCGGAAUUACUGGGCGUAAAGCGUGCGCAGGCGGUGAUGUAAGACAGAUGUGAAAUCCCCGGGCUCAACCUGGGAACUGCAUUUGUGACUGCAUCGCUGGAGUACGGCAGAGGGGGAUGGAAUUCCGCGUGUAGCAGUGAAAUGCGUAGAUAUGCGGAGGAACACCGAUGGCGAAGGCAGGUCUCUGGGCUGACACUGACGCUCACGCACGAAAGCGUGGGGAGCAAACAGG